UAACUCAGGUAAGGUUAAAGAUUCGAAGAGAAAAGUUCACUGAGAAGGAAAGGUAAAGAUUAUUAAAUUAAGGUAAUGUCCCUUUGGUAUCAGGUGUAAAUUAUUUAAAUUAAUAAAUAUUAUAAUCCCGAAUUUAAAUGAUCUAAUAAGAAUAAAUUUAGUUGUAACAAAAAUUUGUUAAGUUUUUGAUAGAAGUGAAAUGCCAAUCAAAUUUAAUGAUAUCUGGUUCUUUUUUGUGUGGAAAAAUCCUUGGUAUGAAUAAUAUUAUAGAAACUUAUAAAUAAGUAUAUUUUUUUUUUAUUAACUAAAUAGUUUAAAAUAAAGAUUUUAAAGUGAUUAAUAUGUUUAAUAACUGAAUUUAUAAAAAUACAUAGAUAUAUAAAAGAAGACCUAUCUGUAAUCCAAAAGAAACUAUUUAAUGUUUAUAUAAGUAGUAAAACAAAAUUUAGAUAAAAUUUAAAAUUAAAAAAUAGCUAAAAUAAUUAUAAUAAAAAGGAAUUAGGCAAAAAUUUUUCUCGCCUGUUUAUCAAAAACAUGGUUUUUUGAUGUUAUAAAAAAUCUGACCUGCUCAAUGCAUAUGUAAAUAGCCGCAGUAUUUUAACUGUGCUAAGGUAGCAUAAUCAUUUGUCUUUUAAAUUAAGUCUAGAAUGAAAGGUUUGACGAAGGAAAAGCUGUCUUCUUGUUAUAUAAUGAAUUUAAUUAAUUAGUAAAAAGGCUGAUAUAAAUUUGAGGGACGAUAAGACCCUAUUAAACUUGAUUUUAUAAUUUUACUGGGGCGGUAAUUUAAGAUGAAAAUCUUAUUUGAUAAAGUAUAAUUUGUUGACCCAAUAUGAUUGAGGAAAAGAUAAAGUUACUAUAGGGAUAACAGCUUAAUUUUUUUUUGAAGCUCAUAUUUAGAAAAAAGUUUAAGACCUCGAUGUUGAAUUAAAGUAUCUUUUUAGUGAAGCAGUUAAAAUAAGAAAGUCUGUUCGACUUUUAAAUCUUUACAUGAUUUGAGUUCAGAUCGGCGUGAGCCAGAUCGGUUUCUAUCCUCAAGGUAAGUUAAUGUUAGCAGUACG
rnacentral:rRNA from 1 species